GGCGCUAUAGCCAAGUGGUUACGGCGACAGAUUCGAAUUGAUCGAUAUCUGUUCCUCUUUGAGGGCGCAGGUUCAAAUCCUGCUGGCGUCG
rnacentral:tRNA from 1 species